UACGGAGGAUGCGAGCGUUAUCCGGAUUUAUUGGGUUUAAAGGGUGCGCAGGCGGCACGGCAAGCCGGCGGUCAAAUCGCGGGGCUCAACCCCGCCCAGCCGUCGGAACUGCCGGGCUAGAGUGGGCGAGAAGUGCGCGGAAUGCGUGGUGUAGCGGUGAAAUGCAUAGAUAUCACGCAGAACUCCGAUUGCGAAGGCAGCGCACCGGCGCCCUACUGACGCUCAGGCACGAAAGCGUGGGUGUCGAACAGG
rnacentral:rRNA from 1 species